rnacentral:rRNA from 9 species
UCCUUGGCGACGUGAAGUUCUCCCAGACUACAGUGAGAGUUAUGGAGUCCUCGGUGUCGAUGCCGCGGGCGGCGGCGACGCCCGUGCUAGCGGCGGCGGUGACGCGGACGGGGCGGGCGCGCCCGUGAAACACCCACUCGGAGAAGUCGACGUGGUGGGAGUUGAGGUAGUAAGAUAUG